AUGGCUUGCGGCGAUGGAGUUCGCUGAUGCGUCUCAGACUGAUGACUCCUACUAAAGC
rnacentral:ncRNA from 2 species